rnacentral:rRNA from 1 species
UACGGAGGGAGCUAGCGUUGUUCGGAAUUACUGGGCGUAAAGCGCGUGUAGGCGGCAACGCAAGUCGGGCGUGAAAUCCCACGGCUCAACCGUGGAAGUGCACUCGAAACUGCGUAGCUAGAGUCCUGGAGAGGAAGGUGGAAUGCUUGGUGUAGAGGUGAAAUUCGUAGAUAUCAAGCGGAACACCGGUGGCGAAGGCGGCCUUCUGGACAGUGACUGACGCUGAGACGCAAAAGCGUGGGGAGCAAACAGG